CAGACAGCUCAUUCCCAGGAAGGGGAGCAAUGUAAGCAAAGACGGCCAAGUCCAGUCAGCUGGAACUAAGUAAGGGAGGAUCUCACUGUUAAACCAAUUACUUUAGAGUUGGUAGUUCUUGAGUAAGAAGCUGGUGCAUGGAUGCAUGGAGAGUGACGUUUGGGGCAGGACUAACUUGGCAAGGCUACAGGAUGGACAAGAAUCGAGAAAGACUGGGAAGUUGGAAAACUGCUUGUAUCUUGUGAGGUCUAUGUGAGGGAGCAUCUGGAUUUAAGAUGCCAACAGAAGAAAGAAGCAUCUCAUGCGGAAAUGCUGAGAAGGAGCAUAUGAGGAUGUCAGAGGGGACCAGAACAUGGCAGAGUCCGGGAAGUAGAGGGAAUGGGAGAUUCCAAUAGUGUCCAGUGCUUCAGAGGAGACCCAUGAAAUAGGAUCCACUUCUUUAUUAUAUUUUUGGAGAACAAGAAUCUUUGUCUGGAAAUUCCACAAGUAUGCCUUCUGCAAGAUUAAAAGUGCCACAAAGAACAAAAAUGAGCCCAGAACCAGAUGCGUGCUAGAAGACAUCAGACAUGUUAAGUUUCAUCUCCAUUGACCUGGGCCCGAAGUUGUAUUGCAGUAUGCACACGUCCUUUGAUGCCUGGCACAGAGAAAUGUGAGUAGCAGGGAAAAAACAAGAUUUGAUGUUUUUGGAACCAAAAGUUAAUAUGGGGGGAAGUCUUCCAAUCAGCCGACAUGAACAAUGGUAAGUGCAUGAUUUAAUUCUUAUUGAUGCCUAGUCAAAUCACCAGAGAACUGCAGAGAAUUGUAAUUCACCAGAAUUAUAAUGACACUGAAUAUGUAAUUCAAAAUUCUGUCAUUUUCACUGGAAAAUUAUAUCACUAGAAUUUUCCACGUGAAAAUGGCCUUUGUAAAUCUUUUAUAUGCUGCCAUAAUAUUCAGUUUAGCUUCAGUCAGCGCAGAGUUUUGUGUUGGUAUCCUGCUCUGUGUGAUGAACUGUACUGCGCAACAUAAUUCUGUUCUGGACCAACUCUAACACAAGUUUUCCUCUCUUGGUGCACUUUCUCUGGCUCUGCUUCUGUCUCUCAAGUUCAGUGAUUCCCUUUUCCUAGAAUACCUUUCCUUUCUGUUUCUGCCUGGUAAAUUACUCUCGGUCUUUUAAGAUCUGGCUCAUAUCUCAUCCUUGUUAUCCACAAGGCUUGACUCCAUAAAUAAUUAGUGUUCCCAUAACACGCAUCUGUGAUUGCCUCGUAGUGCAUGAUGCUUUUAAUUUAUCCAUUAGGUUAUUAUUUCUACAUUGUCAUUAUUGUUGAUAUUUAUAUUGUGUAAUGUAACAAUAAUUUUCACAUAUAUUUACACUUACUUUUACAUUUAUAUUGAUUUAGUAGUCACUGCCAUACUUUAUAAUGAUGUUCUUUAUUAUUUUCUUGGAUGGCCAUACCAUAAUUCUGUUUCCUAGAAAGGCUUGUGAAACUGUCUUGUAUCAAAUAGUUCUCCUGGGACUUGAAAAUUAAUCAUCAUUUGAAUUAAUCAACAAUUAAAUUUAUUUAAAUUAAUCAUUAAUUCAUUAGUUACUUAAACUACUGUUAUGGGAGACUUCUAUUUUAUCUUUGAAUUUUUCUGUUUGACUUUUUUUUAUCUUCCUCAGGAUACAGCGAGUGCUCUUCUUUAGCUGUCUUCCAUAAUUAACAUUUAUCCUUUGUUAAUUAACAAAACUAGUUCUUUUUCUUUCAAUAUGCUCAAUUUUCUUAAGCUUUCUUCUAUAUGUUCUUGACGUUUUCUUUUAGUAAUUUCUAUGUCUAAUGUGACCUUCACAUUGUUAUGUUUUAUAUUCUCUAUCACUU